rnacentral:rRNA from 1 species
AGUGGCAGACGGGUGAGUAAUGCAUAGGAAUCUACCUAGUAGUAUGGGAUAGCCACUAGAAAUGGUGGGUAAUACUGUAUAAUCCCUGCGGGGGAAAGAUUUAUCGCUAUUAGAUGAGCCUAUGUUAGAUUAGCUAGUUGGUAGGGUAAAGGCCUACCAAGGCAGUGAUCUAUAGCUGGUCUGAGAGGAUGAUCAGCCACACUGGAACUGAGAUACGGCCCAGUACUCCUACGGGAGGUUGAGGUAUUGAUAAAUG